CCUACGGGAGGCAGCAGUGAGGAAUAUUGGUCAAUGGGCGGGAGCCUGAACCAGCCAAGUCGCGUGAUGGAUGACGGCCCUAUGGGUUGUAAACCUCUUUUGCCGGGGAGCAAAGUGCCGCACGUGUGCGGUUUGGAGAGUACCCGGAGAAAAAGCAUCGGCUAACUCCGUGCCAGCAGCCGCGGUAAUACGGAGGAUGCGAGCGUUAUCCGGAUUUAUUGGGUUUAAAGGGAGCGUAGAUGGGUUGUUAAGUCAGUUGUGAAAGUUUGCGGCUCAACCGUAAAAUUGCAAUUGAUACUGGCAGUCUUGAGUACAGUUGAGGUAGGCGGAAUUCGUGGUGUAGCGGUGAAAUGCUUAGAUAUCACGAAGAACUCCGAUUGCGAAGGCAGCUUACUAAACUGCCACUGACAUUGAUGCUCGAAAGUGUGGGUAUCAAACAGGAUUAGAUACCCCGGUAGUC
rnacentral:rRNA from 1 species